CAGUAGCCGCGGUAAUACGGAGGGUGCAAGCGUUAAUCGGAAUUACUGGGCGUAAAGCGCACGCAGGCGGUUUGUUAAGUCAGAUGUGAAAUCCCCGAGCUUAACUUGGGAACUGCAUUUGAAACUGGCAAGCUAGAGUCUUGUAGAGGGGGGUAGAAUUCCAGGUGUAGCGGUGGAAUGCGUAGAGAUCUGGAGGAAUACCGGUGGCGAAGGCGGCCCCCUGGACAAAGACUGACGCUCAGGCGCGAAAGCGUGGGGAGCAAACAGGAUUAGAGACCCCGGUAGUCCCUGUCUCUUAUAC
rnacentral:rRNA from 1 species